rnacentral:rRNA from 1 species
UGAGUAACCUGCCCUUAACUCUGGGAUAAGCCUGGGAAACUGGGUCUAAUACCGGAUAUGACUCCUCAUCGCAUGGUGGGGGGUGGAAAGCUUUAUUGUGGUUUUGGAUGGACUCGCGGCCUAUCAGCUAGUUGGUGUGGGUAAUGGCCCACCAAACGGCGACGACGGGUAGCCGGCCUGAGAGGGUGACCGGCCACAUUGGGACUGAGAUACGGCCCAGACUCCUACGGGAGGCAG